rnacentral:misc_RNA from 1 species
GAUGAAGAACGUAGCGAAAUGCGAUAAGUAAUGCGAAUUGCAGAAUUCCAGUGAGUCAUCGAAUCUUUGAACGCACAUUGCGCCCCCUGGUAUUCCGGGGGGCAUGCCUGUCCGAGCGUCAUUGCUGCCCUCAAGCCCGGCUUGUGUGUUGGGUCGCCGUCCCCCUCUCCGGGGGGACGGGCCCGAAAGGCAGCGGCGGCACCGCGUCCGAUCCUCGAGCGUAUGGGGCUUUGUCACAUGCUCUGUAGGAUUGGCCGGCGCCUGCCGACGUUUUCCAACCAUUCUUUCCAGGUUGACCUCGGAUCAGGUAGGGAUACCCGCUGAACUUAAGCAUAUCAAUAAGCGGAGGA